ACUGAGCUGUUCCCUGCGCUAAGGUGCUCUUUUGGGCCUAAAUAUAAUUAGAUCCUUCGCCGUUGUUUUGAGGUAAAUCUAAACGAAAAGGAACACCUGUUAACAGGUAGUGAUGCCGCAGGAAAGUGCUGGGAAGGGAAUGCUGGGAAGGGAAGGGCGUGGUCCCUUUAAAUGAUAAGGAAGGGGGGCGGGAAGUGCUGGGUAGAGGAGGGCGUGGUCCCCAGCUAGGGCUUCAUCCCUGGGCCUGGGCCUACCUAGGUGAAGACAGGCAUUUUUGUUUUCCUGCCCGGAUGUUGCAUUUCCCAAGACCACCCUGGCCUGCCAUGCCCUCAUCCUGUGCCUUUAAAAACCCCCGAGACCCUGGCAGGCAGACGCACAAGCAGCUGGACAUUGAGAGGAGCAUAUAGGCAGAGAAUACAGGGGCUGCUGGAUGUCGAAAGGAACGCACCAGCAUAGGAGCACACCGGCAUGCUGGCAGGCCAUUGACCAGCGGAAGAAUGCAGAGUUUGUCGCGGGAGGUCAGAGAAGAGUCAGGCCGCCAUACCUGACUCCAGGAGAAAACCGUCUCCCUUCUGGUUCCCCCGUCUGCCGAGAGCUACUUCCACUCAAUAAAACUUUCCACUCAUUCUUCAAGCCCACGUGUGAUCCAAUUCUUCCCGUACACCAAGGUCUCGCUGUGUUUCCCAGGCUGGGUGCAGUGGCUAUUCAAAGGUACAAUGAUAGCUCACUGCAGCCUGGAACUCCUGGACUCAAGCGAUCCUCCUGCCUCAGCUGCGACUAACAGUGCUGGUAAUGAUGUAUACCUGGCAGCUGACCGUCAAAUCUUAUGAAGGAUUAAAACAUAAAGUUUGCAUUAAAGGUCAAAACAGUCACAAGCCUGCUCAAAUUCGGAAAGAGGGGACGGAAAUGGAACCUCUUCAUGGGAGGAAGAAACAGGGUCUUGCUCUGUUGCCCUGGCUGGAGUGCAAUGGUAUGAUCAUAGCUCACAGUAGCCUUGAACUCCUGGGCCCAAGCCAUCCUCCUACCUCAGCAACCAGAGUAGCUGGGAUUACAGGCGAAUGCCACCACACCUGGAAUUGGAAAAAUGAAUGUAAUUUGACAUAUGUCUUGAGUCUGGUUGGCUUCUGAGGAACUUGUGUGCAUCUCAUCAGUAUGCAUCUUAAGAACUGAAAUGACCCUACUUCAGCAUUGUGAAAUUACAUAAAGAUAAAAGGGGAUGCACUGAACCUGAUGGUACUUUCCUGUACAAUUGAGAAAAGGUGAAAUAAGCAGAAGACCAAGGGAUGCAUUGGGAGGAGGAGAACCAGGAGGAGGACCACGUAAUGGAAGCCAAGUGAAGACAGUGUUUCCCAGUGCUGGCAAGGAGCAGGCUCCAUGCAUGCAUUUGGGCUCUGUGGAAAAUCUAGCCAGGGAUGCGGGCCUUUCUGAACGCCGCUUUCAUUGUGCCCCCUGCAGCAUUAUCUCUUCGAUGCGAUGUCCCUGCUGACUGAAAUGCAGAGAAGCUACUAAGAUCCACACACCAGUUGCUGCAAUCGGUGCCCUGCUCUUUGUCCCCCAUUCACCCCAGGUGAUUCAGCUCUUCUGGCACUCCCAGUGAUUCCUGUGGGACAGGCCCAGAGUGGACUUCCCACGAAGAUUCCCAGACUGGGGGAGAGCUCUAAGAUCCACUUCCAAUUCCUUUGUCUCACCUAGGAGACUCUGGGUUUAUGGAAGUUCUCUCUGAUUAGUGCUGUUGCAGCUGGGUUUGGGGGUCAUGUAGUCUAAAUGAUUGUUUCUCUUACUGGUGGUGAUUUUUCCAGUUUCUGUGGGCCCAGUGGAUUUCUCUGCUUCUCCUUAGAGUUCUGGUGAACUCAGAAUGUUAGUGUUAUUCUUUUCUUUGAAAAUAGUUUCCAUUUGUAAUUUGCUUGGAGAGUGAUUCUGGGGGAUUCUAUUCUGCCAUCUUGCUGCUGUCACUCUUUAAUAAGAUUUGUAACUAAUUCUCAAAUUGUUCAUAGUCUUAAAACUACAUAGAGUUGAUUUCAUACAUUUUAUUAUGAGAACAAUAAAAGUAUUUUGUGUCUUUGCUAGUGAGAUUUUUAGUUAUACAGAAAUUACAGUGUUUCCUGCUAUGUUCAAUCAUUCCAAGAUUCAUUAUACAUAUGUUAAAUAUGUUAUACAUUUGUUUACAUAAUGCAUAUUUUAUUUUUUUUCUGAGAUACCCAAAGCAUAAUCUCCCUCACUAUCCUGAAUAAUUAUAAAUUAGUAUUUCAUAUAUGAUAGAAAAUUUGUGACAUCCACUAUUUUUAAGAACGGCUAGGCUGGGCGUGGUGGCUCAUUCCUGUAAUCCCAGCACUUUGAGAGGCUGAGGUGGGCGGAUCACGUGAGUUCGGGAGUUCGAGACCAGCCUGACCAGCAUGGAGAAACCCCAUCUCUACUAAAAAUACAAAAUUAGCCGGGCGUGGUGGCACAUGCCUGUAUUCCCAGCUACUCGGGAGGCUGAAGCAGGAGAAUUGCUUGAACCCGGGAGGUGGAGGUUGCAGUGAGCCGACAUCAUGCCAUUGCACUCCAGCCUGGGCAGCAAGAGUGAAACUCUGUCUCGAAAAAAAAAAAAAAAAAAAAAGAAGAAUGGCUAAUUUCAGAACAUGUUUAUAUGUAUGUUGUAUUCAAUGUCUUUAAUUAAAGUCUGUUUCUUUAUCCUAAUUUGUG
rnacentral:lncRNA from 1 species